rnacentral:rRNA from 1 species
AGAGUUUGAUCAUGGCUCAGGACGAACGCUGGCGGCGUGCUUAACACAUGCAAGCCGAGCGAUGAAGCACCUUCGGGUGUGAAUUAGCGGCGAACGGGUGAGGAACACGUGAAGAAUCUGCCUUCAACUCUGGGAUAACUCCGGGAAACCGGGGCUAAUACCGGAUAUGAGCCUUGAUCGCAUGAUCGGGGCUGGAAAGUUUUUCGGUUGAAGAUGACUUCGCGGCCUAUCAGCCUGUUGGUGAGGUAAUGGCUCACCAAGGCGACGACGGGUAGCCGGCCUGAGAGGGCGACCGGCCACACUGGGACUGAGACACGGCCCAGACUCCUACGGGAGGCAGCAGUGGGGAAUAUUGGGCAAUGGAGGAAACUCUGACCCAGCGACGCCGCGUGAGGGAUGAAGGCCUUCGGGUUGUAAACCUCUUUCAGUAGGGAAGAAGCGAAAGUGACGGUACCUACAGAAGAAGCACCGGCUAACUAUGUGCCAGCAGCCGCGGUAAUACAUAGGGUGCAAGCGUUGUCCGGAAUUAUUGGGCGUAAAGAGCUCGUAGGUGGUUCGAUACGUCGGAUGUGAAAAUCAGGGGCUCAACCCCUGACCUGCAUCCGAUACGGUCGAGCUAGAGUUUGGUAGGGGAGACUGGAAUUCCUGGUGUAGCGGUGGAAUGCGCAGAUAUCAGGAGGAACACCGAUGGCGAAGGCAGGUCUCUGGGCCAAUACUGACACUGAGGAGCGAAAGCGUGGGGAGCGAACAGGAUUAGAUACCCUGGUAGUCCACGCCGUAAACGGUGGGCGCUAGUUGUGCGAACCUUCCACGGUUUGUGCGACGCAGCUAACGCAUUAAGCGCCCCGCCUGGGGAGUACGAUCGCAAGAUUAAAACUCAAAGGAAUUGACGGGGCCCCGCACAAGCAGC